UGGGAACGCGAAGAACCUUACCAGGUCUUGACAUCCUACUAAUGAAGCAGAGAUGCAUUAAGUGCCCUUCGGGGAAAGUAGAGACAGGUGGUGCAUGGUUGUCGUCAGCUCGUGUCGUGAGAUGUUGGGUUAAGUCCCGCAACGAGCGCAACCCCUAUUGUUAGUUGCUACGCAAGAGCACUCUAGCGAGACUGCCGUUGACAAAACGGAGGAAGGUGGGGACGACGUCAAAUCAUCAUGCCCCUUAUGUCCUGGGCCACACACGUAAUACAAUGGCGGUCAACAGAGGGAUGCUAAGCCGUGAGGUGGAGCGAACCCCUAAAAGCCGUCUCAGUUCGGAUUGCAGGCUGCAACUCGCCUGCAUGAAGUCGGAAUCGCUAGUAAUCGCGGAUCAGAAUGCCGCGGUGAAUACGUUCCCGGGUCUUGUACACACCGAGUCUUGUACACACCGGGUCUUGUACACAC
rnacentral:rRNA from 1 species